AUAAUGAAUCACCAUCACCCAUUCAAACAAGCUGGAUCAUGCAAGAGUAUCACAUUUACAACUACCUUUUGAAUAACACUCAUCAUGCUCAUCCAUCUCAAAACAACAACAAUAAUCUAUCACAAACAAAAUCAGAGUUUGGAUUAUGGGUAGUGUGUCGAGUAUUUGAAGCAAAAGAGAAUAAUAAUAUUAUUGGAAGAAGUAUGUUUUGUUAUGAGGAAGAUGAUGAUGAUGAUAAUGAAAGUGAACUUUCUUAUUUGGAUGAGAUGUAUUUGAGUUUAGAUGAUAUUUGAAUUCCCAAUAUAUAAUCUUAAUUAUUGAACCUCUAAUUUAAUUUUAAUUUGUCCUUUCGAUUAUUA